UAAUGUCAAAUUUGGACGCGGUUCAUCUCAAAUAAUUCAAAAAAUAUUGAGCGGUCUUUUUUCACAAUUUAGUCGUCGUUAAUGUCUAGGUAAUUUUUUGGAAACCCUUUCGCCUCUUUUUUCUUAAGCAAAAUAAUUUGCACGUCUCUCUCUCCUAGAAUUUGAGAUCUGGUGAGGCUUUGAUUGCAAUAUCAAGGUCUGCAAAAAUCGUUGGAUAUGAAGGUGAAAGAAUACAUAAGGAAAUGGUGUUUUCUGAGGUAGGAUUUCAUGAAGUUCGAGCACUUGUGUUAUUGGUAUCGAAAGCAUGUUAGGAAUUGGUGGAUUUUGCAACUUUUGGUUCUCGAAAUUGCCUUCUUCUGAGAUUUGGAGACUCAGCGAGUCAGUGAGGAUGGAACCCGCCAGAGCGAUAGCGGCACUAGCGUCGUGGUGGUGGUGACACGACUAGUUGGCACUUUCACUACAAGCAUCAACGUCGUCAAUAACUCAGAUUUUUACCUUAAUUGGUAUUUAUUUUUAUUUGAAUCACGUUGUUUUUACAUUGCAUUUUCAAAAAUUUCUCAACUAUAUUUCAAAAAUUUCUUUAUUUAUGUAAAUGUGAUGGAUAAUUGGUGAAUUACAAUUCAAUUAUUCUUUCCAAUAGUUUGAUUAUAUGUGAAAGAAAUUGUCAUAAUUUGUGAACAUGAAUGAAGUACGGAGUAUUAAU